rnacentral:rRNA from 1 species
AAUUAAUAAUAUUGUUUUAUUAAAAAGUAUUUAUAAGAUAUAAAUUAAGUAAAUUAGGGUUAUUGUAAUAUGAAUUGAUUUAAUUUUAUUUACUAUAGAGUAUAGUACUGUGAAGGAAGUUUAAAGUAUAUGUUAUAAUUAUGAAAAAGUGAUUUAAUUUAUUUUAUCUUGUGUAUCAGAGUAUAUUUAAAUGAAUUAUAAAUUUUGUUUUUCUCGAAUUUUAAAGAUUUAAUGUAGUAAUUUAGUUAUUGUAUUAAAAAUAUUAAAAAUGUUAUAUUGGGAAUGAAAUGUUAAUCGUUUUAUAGGAUAUCUAGUUUUUUAAUAAAUGGAUUUAAUUCAAGGGAUGUAAAUUUAUUUAAUUUAUGGUUAUUUAAAUAUUUAAUGUUUCUAAUUUUAAAAGGGAUUAGCUUUUUAAAAGAUUAAUUAUAAUAAAGUUAUUUAAUAAGGAUUUUAUGAAUUUAGAAUUUGUUAAUAAUUUAAGGAUGUUAAAAUUUAAUUCUUUUUUUUGUUAAUUUUUAAUUUUUAUUUAAUUUAUGUAUUAAAAUAUUAAAUUGAAUUUAUAAGUUUUUAAAAUAAUGAUUUAAUUAGUAAAAAUAUUUAUGUGAAAUGAAUUUUGUUUUUAAUGUAAUUAUAAAGAAUUAGGCAAAUAUUUCACUCACCUGUUUAUUAAAAACAUGGUUUCUUGAAGGUAUAUAAGAAAUCUAGUCUGCCCACUGAAUAAUUUUAUUUGAAGGGCCGCGGUAUAUUGACUGUGCGAAGGUAGCAUAAUCAUUAGUCUUUUAAUUGAAGGCUUGUAUGAAUGGCUGGAUGAGGUGAAUACUGUUUUAUAAAUAUUUUUAGUUGAAUUUAGAUUUUAAGUAAAAAUACUUAAGUAAUAUUAAGGGACGAGAAGACCCUAUAGAGUUUAAUAAGUGUAGUAAUUGAUUUAAGUUAAGAAUUAAUUUAUAGUUAAUACAAAAUUUAUUUAAUUGGGGAGAUUUAAAGAUAAAUGGAACUCUUUAUAAAAUUUAAUAUUAUAAUUAGUUUUUUGAUCCAUAGAUAAUGAUUAAAAGAUUAAAUUACCUUAGGGAUAACAGCAUAAUUUCUUUUGAGAGUUCAUAUCGAAAAAGAAGAUUGUGACCUCGAUGUUGGAUUAAGAUUAGUUUUGAGGUGUAGAUGUUUAUAAACUAGGUCUGUUCGACCUUUAAAAUCUUACAUGAUCUGAGUUUAAACCGGCGUGAGCCAGGUUGGUUUCUAUCUUUAAUUCUUUUUAAUAUUUUAGUACGAAAGGACCAAAUAUUUAAAAUAAUUUUUAAAUAAUGAAUUUUAUUAAUGUUAAA